rnacentral:ncRNA from 1 species
GUGUUGUAUGAAAGGUAAAAAGAUUAGCACUCCCCUUGCUAAGAACAGAAGAGGUCUUAGUGGACCUCUUCGCAACACAUAUACAGUGAAGGCAUUCCAUCUACCCUGUGGCACCUAACCAUCAAGAAUAUGU